rnacentral:tRNA from 1 species
UUUUAAAAAUAAAAUAAUAGGCUUAACAUAAAAAAAAUAAAUUAAAAUUUAAUA